GAUGAACGCUGGCGGCGUGCCUAAUACAUGCAAGUCGAGCGAACGGACGAGAAGCUUGCUUCUCUGAUGUUAGCGGCGGACGGGUGAGUAACACGUGGAUAACCUACCUAUAAGACUGGGAUAACUUCGGGAAACCGGCGCUAAUACCGGAUAAUAUUUUGAACCGCAUGGUUCAAAAGUGAAAGACGGUCUUGCUGCCACUUAUAGAUGGAUCCGCGCUGCAUUAGCUAGUUGGUAAGGUAACGGCUUACCAAGGCAACGAUGCAUAGCCGACCUGAGAGGGUGAUAGGCCACACGGGAACUGAGACACGGUCCAGACUACUACGGGAGGCAGCAGUAGGGAAUCUUCCGCAAAGGGCGAAAGCAUGACGGAGCAACGCCGCGUGAGUGAUGAAGGUCUUCGGAUCGUAAAACUCUGUUAUUAGGGAAGAACAUAUGUGUAAGUAACUGUGCACAUCGUGACGGUACCUAAUCAGAAAGCCACGGCUAACUACGUG
rnacentral:rRNA from 1 species